UACAGAGGGUGCAAGCGUUUAAUCGGAAUUACUGGGCGUAAAGCGUGCGCAGACGGUUGCGUAAGUCAGAUGUGAAAGCCCCGGGCUCAACCUGGGAAUUGCAUUUGAGACUGCGUAGCUAGGGUGCGGAAGAGGGAAGCGGAAUUUCCGGUGUAGCGGUGAAAUGCGUAGAUAUCGGAAGGAACACCAGUGGCGAAAGCGGCUUCCUGGUCCAGCACCGGACGUCAGGCACGAAAGCGUGGGGAGCAAACAGG
rnacentral:rRNA from 1 species